AAUUUUAUAAAAUAUAUUUUAUUAGUGAAUUUUAAAUAAAUUUUAAAAAAUAAUUAGGUAAUUAAUAAAUUAAGUAUAGUUUUUAAAAAAUUUAUAAAAUUUAUAUUUUUAGUAUUGAAAAAGAAAAAUUUAUUUAUGUAAAAUUAAAAAUAAUUUUUUACCUUUUGUAUCAGGGUUUAUUAAAUUUAUAAAUAUAUUAUUUUUUUCUCGAAAUAAAGUGAUCUAAUUUAAUAAUUUAAUUAAUGUUAAAUUAUUAUUAAUAAUAUUAUUUUAGUUAUUAUAUGUAAUUCAUACUUUAUAUAUCUAGUUAUUUUAUAAAUAAAUUUAAUUUUUUAAUUAUUAUAUUUAUUUUUAAAAAUUUUUAAAAAUAUUUAAUUAAUUAGGGAAAUUUUUGGGGAUAAUCUCUAGGAUUUUUUUUAAAUUUCUGUAAAAUUUAAAAUAUUUUAUUAAUAGUAAUUUUUUUAAAAAUUUAAUAUGUAAUAAUUAAUUUUAUAAAAAUAUUAUUUAAUUAAAAUUAAGUAAUUUAUAAAUUUAAAAAAUUUAAAAAAAUAAUUUUUGAAAUAAUGAUAAAAUUAGUAAAAGUUUUUAAAAAUGAUUUAUUAAAUAUUAAAUUAAAUUAAGGAAUUAGGCAAAGAAUUAGUUUACCUGUUUAUUAAAAACAUGGUUUUUUGAAUAUAAUUUAAAAUCCAAUCUGCUCAAUGAAUAAUUAAAUAGCUGCAGUAUUUUAACUGUACUAAGGUAGCAUAAUCAUUUGUCUUUUUAUUAAAGUCUGGAAUGAAUGAUUAAAUAAAAUUAAAACUGUCUCAAUUUAAAAAUUUAAAAUUAAUUUUAAGUAAAAAUUCUUAAAUUUUUAAAAAAGACGAGAAGACCCUAUAGAAUUUUAUAAAUUUUAAAAUUUAAAUUUUAAAAUUUAUUUGUUUGGGGUGAAUUUAAAAUUUAAAAAAUUUUUAAAUAAAUUAAUUCAUAAAUUUAUGAAAUUAAAAUCUUUAUUUUUAAAAUUAAAAUAAAUUACCUUAGGGAUAACAGCGUAAUUUUUCUUGAUAGUUCAUAUUGAUAGAAAAGUUUGCGACCUCGAUGUUGAAUUAAGAUUAAUUAAUUAUGGAAAAAUAAUAUUAUUUAGUCUGUUCGACUAUUGAAAUCUUACAUGAUUUGAGUUUAGAUCGGCGUGAGCCAGAUCGGAUUCUAUCUUUUUAUAUUUUAAUAAAUUUGUACGAAAGGACUUUUUAUUAUUAAUAUUUAAAUUAUUAAUGAAUUAAAUUA
rnacentral:rRNA from 1 species